rnacentral:rRNA from 1 species
UACAGAGGUCUCAAGCGUUGUUCGGAUUCACUGGGCGUAAAGGGUGCGUAGGUGGUGAGGUAAGUCGGAUGUGAAAGCUCGGAGCUCAACUCCGAAAUGGCAUUGGAAACUACCUUGCUAGAGGGUUGGAGGGGGGACUGGAAUACUUGGUGUAGCAGUGAAAUGCGUAGAUAUCAAGUGGAACACCAGUGGCGAAGGCGAGUCCCUGGACAACUCCUGACACUGAGGCACGAAAGCUAGGGGAGCAGACAGG